rnacentral:lncRNA from 1 species
UCAGGUUAAUGCUUCUUAGUGGUUUUUUCUUUUUUUUUUUUUAUUGUUGAGGUUUUCUCAGCAUUUAAAAAAAAUUGUUUUUUUAAUUGAAGGAUAAUUGCUGUAAAGAAUUCUGUUGUUUUCUGUCAAAUCUCACCAUGAAUAUUAUAUUGAGCCUUGCCCUUUCUUUCUUCUCAAGGACAUUCCAAGCAUAUCAGACCUGAGGACUGCAAGCAACUUUAAGAAGCUUCAUAUUCAGCAGGUCUUUCCUUUUGAGAAUCUGGAUAAGCUCCAACCAAUCUAAUAGGAUGGCUUGCAGUUUCCCUGGAGAAAAAGGUGGAGAUGGGGCAUGAGGAUCCUCCAGGGGAAAGAUUCACUACCACUGAGCAACAACUCUAGGCCAGGAGGUUAUACCAAGAUUCUUUCCUGGGCCCAGUUAAGAAGGUGAAGCCUCAAGACAACCACCACACAUCCAGAGCUCCUGGUUGUUCCCUUCAUAUUUGCCAAAUCAUUAUCUUUCCCUGAAGUAGUGCAAAGAGCAAGAAAUGUGAACACACCAAGGAAGAUCAACAUGCCUGCAAUGCUAGCAUUUUAGAAUAGCAGAAUGAAUUUGUCUCUUCUAUUUCUUACCCUCUUCCAUGUCUGCCUUUGCUUAUCUUUUAAACUCAUAAGUGUGUAUUUGUUUGUUUGUCUGUUUCUUCUUUGAAUGUCUUUGGUCUUUCUUGUCUAAAGUAUGUCUUACCCAUUUCCAUGAUUCUCUUGCUAGUUUCUUCUCUGUAUAUCUUUGUCUCAUUUACUUUUUUGUACCCAGGAGUGGUUUGUGUCUUGUCUUAAAUGUCUCUCUCUAGUUUUCUUCAUUUUGUUACUGAUUCUCCUUGCUCUGCUAGAUCUAGCUCUUCUUUUACCGUU